rnacentral:rRNA from 1 species
GUGGGGAAUAUUGGACAAUGGGCGAAAGCCUGAUCCAGCCAUGCCGCGUGUGUGAAGAAGGUCUUCGGAUUGUAAAGCACUUUAAGUUGGGAGGAAGGGUAGUAACCUAAUACGUUGCUACUUUGACGUUACCGACAGAAUAAGCACCGGCUAACUUCGUGCCAGCAGCCGCGGUAAUACGAAGGGUGCAAGCGUUAAUCGGAAUUACUGGGCGUAAAGCGCGCGUAGGUGGUUCAGUAAGUUGGAAGUGAAAUCCCCGGGCUCAACCUGGGAACUGCUUUCAAAACUGCUGAGCUAGAGUACGGUAGAGGGUGGUGGAAUUUCCUGUGUAGCGGUGAAAUGUGUAGAUAUAGGAAGGAACACCAGUGGCGAAGGCGACCACCUGGACUGAUACUGACACUGAGGUGCGAAAGCGUGGGGAGCAAACAGGAUUAGAAACCCGUGUAGUCC